rnacentral:rRNA from 1 species
GGUCAAACUCUUAAGGGUGUAUGGUGGAUGUCUUGGCAUCGAGAGGCGAUGAAGGACGUUGUAGCCUGCGAUAAGCUCCGGGAAGCUGGCAAACAAGCGUUGAUCCGGAGAUUUCCGAAUGGGGAAACCCCACCUUCGGGUGACUCCUGCCUGAAUGUAUAGGGCAGGUAGAGCGAACGCGGUGAACUGAAACAUCUAAGUAACCGCAGGAACAGAGACAGACAUGGAUUCCGUCAGUAGCGGCGAGCGAACACGGAAAAGCCCAAACCGGGAUUCGUCCCGGGGUUGCGGGCGCUUCGAGCUGAAAAGCACUUAACAGAACGGUUUGGAAUGGCCGGCCAUAGCGGGUGAAAGCCCCGUAUGUGAAAAGUGUAAUAGGCGUUGAGAGGCGUACCAGAGUAGCACGGAGCUCGUGGAACUCCGUGUGAAGCUGGCCGGACCACCGGCCAAGGCUAAAUACUCCUCGAUGACCGAUAGUGAACAAGUAGGGCGAUUGAACGAUGAAAAGUACAGCUGUUAGCUGAGUUAAAAGUACCUGAAACCAUACACUUACAAGCGGUCGGAGCCCUAUGCCCGCAAGGGAAUGGGUGACGGCGUACCUUUUGCAUAAUGGGCCGGCGAGUGCACGUAUACAGCAAGGCUAAGGUGUCAAGCACCGGAGCCGAAGCGAAAGCGAGUCUUAAAGUGGCGUUGAGUUGUGUGCGUGCGGCCCGAAACCCCGUGAUCUACCCGUGGCCAGGUUGAAUGUUCCGUAAAAGGGACAGAAGGACCGAAGCCGUGAACGUUGAAAAGUUCUGGCAUGAGCUGCGGGGAGGAGUGAAAGUCUAAUCAAACGGGGAGAUAUCUGGUUCUCUUCGAAAUGCCUUUAGGGGCAGCCUCAGGUAAAUAUCCUAUGGGGGUAGAGCUACUGAAAGAGGACGUGGGGCUACCCGCCUACACGCCUCUACCAAACUCCGAAUACCAUAGGACGUACCCUGGGAGUGAGUCCGCGAGGGAUAAUCUUCGCGGUCGAGACGGAAACAACCGAGAUCGCCUGCUAAGGUCCCUAAAUCUAACUUAGUUCGUGAGGAAGUCAUUCUGCUGUGACAGCUAGGAUGUUGGCUUAGAAGCAGCCACCAUUUAAAAAGUGCGUAAUAGCUUACUAGUCGAGCAGAGCGGCGCCGUAAAUGAUCGGGAAUAAGUUGGAUACCGAAGCAGCGAGCUGCGUAAGCAGCGGUAGAAGAGCGUUGUAAUCCGCAUUGAAGCCAUACCGUAAGGAGUGGUGGAGCGAUUACAAGUGAGAAUGCCGGCAUGAGUAACGAUAAUGCAGGUGAAAAUCCUGCACGCCGAAAGCCUAAGGUUUCCUGGGGAAGGUAAAUCCGCCCAGGGUUAGUCGGGAGCUAAGUCGAGGCCGAAAGGCGUAGACGAUGCACAGCAGGUUAAUAUUCCUGCACCGGUGUAGAGAUCAAAGCAGUGUGCGCUUUUUCCAAGCAGAUCCUCCGAUUAGUCGUGGAGGUUUCGCAAGAUCGAGGCCGUUUUGUUGCCGAAGUCUGUGGCGAAAGAGCCGAGAAAAGCACUGCAGGCAAAGCACUGUCCGUACUAAAACUGACACAGGUAGGCGAGGAGAGUAUCCUCAGGCGCUCGAGAGAACUGCGGUUAAGGAACUAGGCAAUCUAACCCCGUAACUUAGGGAGAAGGGGUCCCUCCUCGCAAGAGAGGGCGCAGGAAUCAGCCUGGGCGACUGUUUAUCAAAAACACAGCACUGUGCUAACUCGCAAGAGGAUGUAUACAGUGUGACGCCUGCUCGGUGCGGGAAGGUUAAGGAAGUCGGUUAGGGAUACGUCCCAAAGCUGGCGACCGAAGCCCCCGUAAACGGCGGCCGUAACUAUGACGGUCCUAAGGUAGCGAAGUUCCUUGUCGGGUAAGUUCCGACGUGCAUGAACGGCGUAACGACUUGGGCGCUGUCUCGACCGCAGACUCGGUGAAAUUGAAGUGGCGGUGAAGAUGCCGCCUCCCCGCAGCAAGACGGAAAGACCCCAUGCACCUUUACUAUAGCCUGGUACUGAUGCCGGUUGUGGACUGCGUAGGAUAGGUGGGACGCGUUGAUCCGCUGGUUCUGGCCAGCGGGGAGCGGUUGGUGAAAUACCACCCUGUUUGCAUUCGUCAUCUCACCCUGUGCCAUGAAUCUGGUCAGGGAACCGUGCUAGGUGGUUAGUUUGACUGGGGCGGUCUCCUCCAAAAGAGUAACGGAGGAGUACAAAGGCGGGCUCAGGCCGGUUGGCAAUCGGUCGUCGAGCGCAAGGGUAUAAGCCCGCUUGACUGCGAGUGCUACAGCACGAGCAGAGCUGAAAGGCGGUCCUAGUGAUCCUGUGGUCCCGUGUGGAAGGGCCAUAGCUCAACGGAUAAAAGGUACGCUGGGGAUAACAGGCUGAUCGCACCCGAGCGUCCAUAGCGGCGGUGCGGUUUGGCACCUCGAUGUCGGCCCAUCACAUCCUGGGGCUGAAGGCGGUCCCAAGGGUUUGGCUGUUCGCCAAUUAAAGUGGUACGCGAGCUGGGUUCAGACCGGCGUGAGCCAGGUCGGUCCCUAUCUGCUGUGGGUGUGGGAAUCUUGACGGCAAUUCUUCCAUAGUACGAGAGGAUUUGGAAGGACUGACCCCUGGUGUACCAGUUGUCCUGCUAAGGGCACGGCUGGGUAGCCAUGUCGGGAACGGAUAAACGCUGAAAGCAUCUAAGCGUGAAGCCAAUGCCAAAACGAGGAUUCCAUGCGGAUUCGUCCGCGAGAGACCCCGGGUAGACCACCCGGUUGAUAGGCCGGAGCUGUACGGCUAGAAAUAGCUUCAGGUUACCGGUACUAACGGUCGACAGUUUGACCAC